rnacentral:rRNA from 1 species
UUCCGGUUGAUCCUGCCGGAGGCCAUUGCUAUCGGAGUUCGAUUUAGCCAUGCUAGUCGCACGAGUUCACACUCGUGGCGGAUAGCUCAGUAACACGUGGCCAAACUGCCCUAUGGAUCGGGAUAACCUCGGGAAACUGAGGCUAAUCCCGAAUACGGCUCUCUCACUGGAAUGUGGAGAGCUCGAAACGCUCAGGCGCCAUAGGAUGUGGCUGCGGCCGAUUAGGUAGACGGUGGGGUAACGGCCCACCGUGCCGAUAAUCGGUACGGGUUGUGUGAGCAAGAGCCCGGAGAUGGAUUCUGAGACAAGAAUCCAGGCCCUACGGGGCGCAGCAGGCGCGAAAACUUUACACUGCACGACAGUGCGAUAAGGGAACUCCGAGUGCGAGGGCAUAUCGUCCUCGCUUUUCUGAACCGUAAGGUGGUUCAGGAACAAGGGCUGGGCAAGACCGGUGCCAGCCGCCGCGGUAAUACCGGCAGCCCGAGUGAUGGCCGCUAUUAUUGGGCCUAAAGCGUCCGUAGCCUGCCAGACAGGUCCAUCGGGAAAUCUGCUCGCUCAACGAGCAGGCGUCCGGUGGAAACCAGCUGGCUUGGGGCCGGAAGACCCAGGGGGUACGUCCGGGGUAGGAGUGAAAUCCCGUAAUCCUGGACGGACCACCAAUGGGCGAAAGCACCCUGUGAGGACGGACC